rnacentral:rRNA from 1 species
GACGAACGCUGGCGGCGUGCUUAACACAUGCAAGUCGAACGAAGUGGCGAACGGGUGAGUAACGCGUAAUCAACCUGCCCUUCAGGGGGGAACAACAGUUGGAAACGACUGCUAAUACCGCCUACUGAAUGAGGGGAUUUCGUCUGAUUAGCUAGUUGGCGGGGUAACGGACCACCAGGGCGAUGAUCAGUAGCCGGUCGGAUAGGAUGAACGGCCACAUUGGGACUGAGACACGGCCCAGACUCCUACGGGAGGCAGCAGGGGGGAAGUGUCCGCAAUGGACGAAAGUCUGACGGAGCAACGCCGCGGGAGUGAGGACGGCCUUCGGGUUGUAAAGCUCUGUUAAUCGGGACGCGGUACCGGAAUAGAAAGCCACGGCUAACUACGUGCCAGCAGCCGCGGUAAUAC